AUGUCCCUCCGGCGGGCCGUCGGUGGCCUUGGUGGCGCUGCUGGUGCGAUCGCGGCUGCGUUGGAUGGUGGUGGAGCCUUGGCCUUUCAUCAGUACAAGAAAGGCAAGGAAGAGGAGGACAUGAAGGAGAUGUUCGAGGACUGGGUGAAGAAGUACAACAAGAGAUACCGGGACGAGGAAGAGAAGGCUAUGCGGUUCCAGAUGUUCAAGGACACCGUCGACAAGCUCCCGCGCCGCCCAGACGGAAUACACUAUUUAGCAGACCGGACAGAUAAGGAGAUCCGGAGGUUUAAGGCCUAUCCGGACGGAAUUCAACACGAAGAGUACGCAAAGUUCUGCAGGAAUUUCUUGGCCAAGGAGAGCCACUGA
rnacentral:rRNA from 1 species